rnacentral:lncRNA from 1 species
GUUCUAAAGUGCUCCUCAUCUUACACAACAGAGCACUAAUACACAUAAAAAAAAGAGGAGAAGCGACCCGGUCGUAAACAAGACUUGAGAUAAAAUUAUAAUUAUUAGUUUAGAGGUCCUGACGAAACUUACUUUUUCGAGGGUAACUCCGAUCCUCCAAGGUUUUUAGUACGUCUAUCUGCUGAGACACAAGAGCCUCUAGGCAUGAUGGAAUUCUUCUUUCACCAACCUUCACUUCGUAUAUAAUUCCUUGGACUUUUGCAACUUUAAACUCAAUUUUAAAAGCCUUGUGGUUUUUGGGGGAUGUUGCUAUAAGCUAGUCAGUUGGGCUUCAGGACCACAUUAUAAGCUUUAAGAAUCAUACACUCUACCAUACUGAUAAGUGUACUUAAUAAUUAUCGUCUCUAAUGGGUGAAGUAAAGUCGAACUUUCCAAAAAAAUAUUUCGGAGACAACGUAGAGCUUGGCUCUUCCAUGUGUACAAAGGGAACUUGCUUUGAGUGGCCAACAAACGGCUAUAUAUCUUUCAAAACUUACACAAACUGUGAGGUAUACACUUCCUGUCUGAGCAAUCAUACCAAUCGGAUAUAUGUAGGGGAUAAUGUAUGGAAAUAUCUUAAGUAUGUAGAAGAGUGAAAAGGUAGUUUCAAUCUA